rnacentral:rRNA from 1 species
GACGAACGCUGGCGGCGUGCUUAACACAUGCAAGUCGAACGCUGAAGCUCAGCUUUUGUUGGGUGGAUGAGUGGCGAACGGGUGAGUAACACGUGAGUAACCUGCCCCCUUCUUUGGGAUAACGCCCGGAAACGGGUGCUAAUACUGGAUAUUCACUGGUCUUCGCAUGGGGGUUGGUGGAAAGGGUUUUUCUGGUGGGGGAUGGGCUCGCGGCCUAUCAGCUUGUUGGUGGGGUGAUGGCCUACCAAGGCUUUGACGGGUAGCCGGCCUGAGAGGGUGACCGGUCACAUUGGGACGGAGAUACGGCCCAGACUACGACGGGAGGCAGCAGUGGGGAAUAUUGCACAAUGGGCGCAAGCCUGAUGCAGCGACGCCGCGUGAGGGAUGGAGGCCUCCGGGUUGUGAACCUCUUUCGCUCAUGGUCAAGCCGCAACAAUGGUUGUGGUGAGGGUAGUGGGUAAAGAAGCGCCGGCUAACUACGUG